rnacentral:tRNA from 1 species
GCACACUUGACCGAGUGGUUAAGGUGGCUCCCUGCUAAGGAGUUUCCGUAAGGAGCAGAGGUUCGAAUCCUCUAGUGUGCG